rnacentral:tRNA from 1 species
GCCGCGCGUGGCGGUCUGGAUGACCGCGUGCGCCUUGCCCUCGCGCUCGUCCAGCGCGGCGCGAUGGAGGAGGCGUUCGAGCUGCACCGCGCCGCG